rnacentral:lncRNA from 1 species
GUCAGAGGGAUGACCCUAGUAAAAAGGUCUGACAUUCCAUACCUGAUAAUGAAAGAAAACACCAGAAACUAUUUACUGAGGUGAUUUUAAAUUAAUCUAAAUUGGAUUUCAUAUAUGAACAUAAUUAGUCCCUGGUUCAUAAAUAUUGUACAGUAUAUUUAAAGUACAAUACAAUUAAAUCACUUAGUCCAGUGUUUUAUUUAUACUACUAGUACUUUUAAAAUUGGUGAUUAUUAAAGAAAGACAACUCUUACUUCCAACAUUUCUGGACAAAAUGUUACUUGAAUCAGUGAUUUAAGAUCACCCAUUUCAGUCUAACUGAUAUAUACAAGUAUGUACAAGUAUUUAUAUACAUGUAUAAACUUGUAAGGUUAAAAAAAGCUAGUUUUCGAUUUUUGUAAGAAUGAUUUUUCUUGUGGAUCGAAUCAGUCAAUCUAAUGAUUUACCUUUAUUUCACUUUCAAUGUUGACAUUCUUUUCUAAUAACUGAUUAAUAGCCUAACACACAUCAACCAUGCAUAAUCCAUUUCUAGCUAAGGGUUUAAUUGAAGAUCACAUGAAUAGGGAUUCAAUGAGGUUGAAUUAUUCACUUGCAAGUGUCUUAAUUCAUCAUCAGUGUUUCUUAGCUUAAUCACAAGUCAGAAAUAUGAAAUUUUACCUCUGCCAAAUGAUAAAUCACAAGUCAGCAUUUUUUUUUAAUUGCUGCAUUAAAAAUAUCAGAAAAUACCAUGACAUAUAACAAGAAGAGAUAUAUAUAUACAAAAUGUAUAAAAACUAGAAGGGGAUUUUUUUCCAUGCCACAUUAAUGGACAUGAUGUAUGCAUAAUUUUUUGUUUUACAUACAUUGUACAUCAACAUUUAUUAUAUACAUGUACAAUAAUAUGUACUUUUUUCUUUCAGGAACAAUGAUAAACAAGUGAACUGAUGGUUUAAAACUACCAAAAUGUAAUAGAGAUGUGAAGUAAUGAACAAAAGAGUAACGUGAAGUCAGACAAUACAACUUGAGGUGUCAGAAUUUGUGCAAAAUUUUGUUAUUUGCAGAUACAUGGAUGGAUUUUGUCAAAAUAUGAACUGAAACACUGGGAUAAAAUUAUGUUAUUUUUUUCGUAGAAAAGAUCCGGUUGUGUUCCAUAAAUG